CAACUGGAUUUUUUUAAAUCCACACUUGUUUAUGUUUCUAUAUAUA
rfam:Takifugu rubripes genomic scaffold, scaffold_458